GUCCAAUUCAAGUCCGGAACAGACAAAGCUGCAGUCCUCACAGCACUCAAGGGAGCGUCCACUUAUCAGAUGGAAGGCAUGACACUGGCCUUCUACCAGGACCUUUCUAGCAGCACGCUGGCAUGGCGGAGGUCCCUCAGGCCUCUCACCUCCCUUUUACAGCAGAAGAACAUACGCUACCGUUGGCGCAUGUCUCACACGCUAAUGGUGACACACGGAGACUCCACGCACCUCCUACAGGACUUACAAGAGGCAGCAACACUACUACAAGCCCUGGGUCUACCGCAGGACAGUCUGGCCAGUAAAGACCCCACUACCGCCUCCAAACCUCCACGCACCUGGAACCCAGCGGCGAUUACCCCGUUCAUCC